GCGGACGCUCUUCCGCUCCCCGGGCUCUGCCGGGGCGGGGCGGGGGCGGGCGCGCUCUUCCUGCCGCGCUCGGACCGCUGCCUGCUGCGACGCCGAGCGUGGGGCCAUGGCGGCGCUGGUUUGGGGACGGGGCUUCUCUCGGGCCUGGCUCCGCAGGAGCGCCGGGCCGGGCUGCGGCCGACACUACCGCGCCGCGGUUUGCACCGAGUUGAAGCAGCCCCUGGCCAUUGAGGAGGUCACCCCCCGCCCCGUCCGACCUCACGAGGUCAGAGUUGAUGUCCAUUUCUGUGGAGUUAAUUUUGCUGAUAUUUUAGUCUGCCGUGGUCAGUAUCAGGAAAGGCCCCAUCUUCCCUUCACACCUGGAAUGGAGUUUUCUGGGACAGUAUUGGAGACAGGCACAGAUGUCUGCACAGUGAAACAGGGAGAUCGAGUCAUUGGCGUGAGUGGCUUGAAUGGGAUGGCUGAAGAAUGCGUCAUUGACCAGAAGAGACUGUGGCAGAUUCCAGAAAGCAUCCCCCUCCGAGAAGCUGCUGCCUUGCCUGCAUCUUAUGGCACUGCUAUUUUGGCCCUGGAGCGUCGGGCCUGUACCCAGCCUGGGGAAACGGUUUUAGUGACAGCAGCAGCUGGAGCCACAGGCCUUGCUGUGAUAGAUGUGGCAACAAAUGUUCUUCAGGCCAAGGUAAUAGCUGCAGCCGGAAGUGACGAGAAGUGCAAGCUGGCGAUGCAGAGGGGUGCACAGUCCAGCGUGAACUACAGUCAGGGCAGCCUGAAGGAGGCAGUGAAGAAGCUGGUGGGCAGUGGUGGGGUGAAUGUGGUCAUUGACACCGUGGGAGGAGAUGUCUUCCUGGAGGCUCUCCACAGCCUGGCAUGGGAGGGCAGGAUUGUGGUGGUGGGUUUUGCUGGAGGAACCAUCGCUUCUGUGCCAGCCAACCUCUUGCUCCUGAAGAAUGUGUCUGCCAUGGGGGUGAUCUGGGGCCGAUACAAAGAUCAGAACUUUCCUCUCUUCUCUGGAAGCAUUUCCUCGGCUCUUCAGUACUGCCAGCAAGGGCGCAUCCAGCCAUACAUUGGAGCGGUUUUUAAGCUGGAGGAGGUUGUAUAUCUUUAGAGACAAAUUUAAUAAUGGCUUCAUCCACUGCGAGGCAGAGAACCAGGGUUCUGGGAACAGCCUGUGUGUCUGUCCAGGCAUCAGGAUGGAGAAGCCUCCCUGUCUCUGAUGCAGCCUGUCCAAUCCAGGAGGACGAUGUCCCAGGCAUCUGAAUGAGCUAUCAAAGACGCUGGCCUAAAGUGGUGAAUGAUGCCUUCCUUCAUGUGAUGCAGCGCAAAUCCACGGGCAAGGUGCUUCUCUCUCUCAAAUAAAGACUCACCCCAGCAGCAAACUCAGCGUGUCUGAAUCCAAACCCAUCAUCUUUCCAAAAAACCUGAUUUGCCUCCUGUGUUUCUAAAGGUGUUACCACCUUCCUUAUUAAUCCAGAUUAAAAAUCUUUUAGAGUCA